UGACGACCACAACACUUUGAAACAUCCCUUCCCGUACGAUCACAGAAGUUAAGCAACGUCGAUCCUGUUCAGUACCUAGAUGGGUGAUUGUUUGGGAAUACCAGGUGCUGUAA